ACGCUCGACACCUACGGGAAGCAGCAGUAGGGAAUCUUCCACAAUGGGCGCAAGCCUGAUGGAGCAACACCGCGUGAGUGAAGAAGGGUUUCGGCUCGUAAAGCUCUGUUGUUGGAGAAGAACGUGCGUGAGAGUAACUGUUCACGCAGUGACGGUAUCCAACCAGAAAGUCACGGCUAACUACGUGCCAGCAGCCGCGGUAUCUGAGCGGCGUGGCAAGGC
rnacentral:rRNA from 1 species